CCUCCUGCCUCAGCCUCCUGAGUGCCGGGAUUACAGAUCCCUUGGGUCGGCAUUCAGGGCCUCUCCAGAUGCCCUCACCCACCUGGGUCACAUUGGUCUCCAAGCUCUGUAUCAGCAUCUCCCCAGCCUCUUGUCUCCAGCUCCUCCCUCUGUGGAAAUCUCCUCACCCCUCGAGGAUCCCCAGUCAGAAUCGCUCCCCCGACACACACACAUUUCAUGGUAUGGUGUGUGGGGUGGCUCUCUCCACGCCCGGCUUCCUUUUAGAUUGUCAGUUUUAGGUGUUCCUUGUCAUGAGUUAGCUGGCUGUGGUUCCACCAUCUGUCCCAGCCCCACACCGGGGAGCUGCAAACCAGCCUUUUUCAUCAUCUCCUUCUUCAUCCACA
ensembl:lncRNA